UAGCGGAGGAAAAGAAACUAACUAGGAUUCCCUUAGUAACGGCGAGUGAACCGGGAUGAGCUCAAAUUUAAAAUCUGGCGUCUUUCAGGCGUCCGAGUUGUAAUCUAUAGAGGCGUUUUCCGCGCCGGACCGCGUCCAAGUCUCUUGGAAUAGAGUAUCAAAGAGGGUGACAAUCCCGUACUUGACGCGACAACCGGUGCUCUGUGAUACGUUCUCAAUGAGUCGAGUUGUUUGGGAAUGCAGCUCUAAAUGGGUGGUAAAUUCCAUCUAAGGCUAAAUAUUGGCGAGAGACCGAUAGCGAACAAGUACCGUGAGGGAAAGAUGAAAAGCACUUUGGAAAGAGAGUUAAACAGCACGUGAAAUUGUUAAAAGGGAAACGAUUGAAGUCAGUCGUGUGAAAGGUAUUCAGCCGUCUCUGGCGGUGUAUUUGCCUUUCACGGGUCAACAUCAGUUUGAUCCGGUAGAAAAAGGCGGGAGGAAGGUGGCACCCUCGGGUGUGUUAUAGCCUCCUGUCAUAUGUGCCGGACCAGACUGAGGAACGCAGCUUGCCGCAAGGCCGGGGUUCGCCCACGUACAAGCUUAGGAUGUUGACAUAAUGGCUUUAAACGACCCGU
rnacentral:rRNA from 1 species